rnacentral:rRNA from 1 species
UCUAGAGUAUNGGAGAGGAAAGUGGAAUUCCCAGUGUAGCGGUGAAAUGCGUAGAUAUUAGGAAGANCACCAGUGGCGAAGGCGACUUUCUGGACGAAAACUGACGCUGAGGCGCGAAAGCCAGGGGAGCGAACGGGAUUAGAUACCCCGGUAGUCCUGGCCGUAGACGAUGGGUACUAGGUGUAGGAGGUAUCGACCCCUUCUGUGCCGGAGUUAACGCAAUAAGUACCCCGCCUGGGGAGUACGACCGCAAGGUUGAAACUCAAAGGAAUUGACGGGGGCCCGCACAAGCGGUGGAGUAUGUGGUUUAAUUCGACGCAACGCGAAGAACCUUACCAGGUCUUGACAUUGAUGGACAGAACCAGAGAUGGUUCCUCUUCUUCGGAAGCCAGAAAACAGGUGGUGCACGGUUGUCGUCAGCUCGUGUCGUGAGAUGUUGGGUUAAGUCCCGCAACGAGCGCAACCCCUAUCUUAUGUUGCCAGCACUUCGGGUGGGGACUCAUGAGAGACUGCCGCAGACAAUGCGGAGGAAGGCGGGGAUGACGUCAAAUCAUCAUGCCCCUUAUGACCUGGGCUACACACGUACUACAAUGGGAGUUAAUAGACGGAAGCGAGAUCGCGAGAUGGAGCAAACCCGAGAAACACUCUCUCAGUUCGGAUCGUAGGCUGCAACUCGCCUACGUGAAGUCGGAAUCGCUAGUAAUCGCAGGUCAGCAUACUGCGGUGAAUACGUUCCCGGGCCUUGUACACACCGCCUGUCACACCACGAAAGUCGGAAGUGCCCAAAGCCGGUGGGGUAACCUUCGGGAGCCAGCCGUCUAA